GGUAGUGUAGCAUAGUGGUAAGGAGCUGGGCUCAUAACCGAAUGGUUGCUGGGUUCGAUUCCCCACUGGGG